rnacentral:rRNA from 1 species
UACAGAGACUGCGAGCGUUGUUCGGAUUCACUGGGCGUAAAGGGUGCGUAGGCGGUCGGGUAAGUCUGAUGUGAAAUCUCACAGCUUAACUGUGAAACUGCAUUGGAUACUAUCCGGCUCGAGGAAUGGAGGGGAGACUGGAAUACUUGGUGUAGCAGUGAAAUGCGUAGAUAUCAAGUGGAACACCAGUGGCGAAGGCGAGUCUCUGGACAUUUCCUGACGCUGAGGCACGAAAGCCAGGGGAGCAAACGGG